UACGUAGGUGGCAAGCGUUGUCCGGAUUUAUUGGGUUUAAAGGGCGCGUAGGCGGCCACCGCAAGUCGACUGUGAAAUCUCCGGGCUUAACCCGGAAAGGUCAGCCGAUACUGCGGGGCUAGAGUGCAGAAGGGGCAACUGGAAUUCUCGGUGUAGCGGUGAAAUGCGUAGAUAUCGGGAGGAACACCGUUGGCGAAGGCGACUUUCUGGGCUGCUACUGACGCUGAGGCGCGAAAGUCAGGGGAGCGAACAGG
rnacentral:rRNA from 1 species